GGCUGGGCCGCUGCUCCAUCAAGAAACUUUCCCGGAGUUCUGGAGCCCCUCGGACGGACCACAGCAGAACCUCCUCGCUGAGACCAGACGCUACAAGGUUGCGAGAGAGGGACUGUAAAGGACGCGGACAUGCUGCGGACCGUACUUGUACUUGUCUUUAGUUGUGUGGUGUCACCGCCGUGGGUGUCCGCGCAGACACGCACACGCAGUGCUGUCAGGAAACUCUACGUACUUCAGCCCGGGUCGGGUCCAGGACCGGUUCUUGGUCCCGGUCCCGGGCCAAGCUCGACGGGGGCGACCCGCGGGAUGUUAGUCGGUUCGGUUUCACGGCGUCACGCCGCGUCUUACAACGUGGAACUCGGCCAGGAGGUUCGCGCCCACCGGACGGAGACGCAAGCCUCGACAUCCCAGGAGUCCAUUGUUCGACACACCGAACCGAACCAACACAAGCAGAUCCUCAAGCAGUUUGGAGUGAAUGUCUGUGGAGGUCAGUGCUGUCACGGAUGGAGUAAAGCACAAGGAUCCCAGCGAUGCACAAAGCCAAACUGCAUCCCCCAGUGCCAAAACAAAGGAAUGUGCCUUAGGCCUCAGCUCUGUGUCUGCAAGCCUGGCUCAAGCGGGAAGGCAUGUGAGCAGAAGACUAUGCCCACACAAACCCUUCCAACACAGCCUGGGAAAGGAGCGACCACUGAUCACAGCAGCAGUCCUGUAAAUGGACACAACGCUGUACCACAGCAUCCCAUACCUCAGCAAGUUCUGCCUGAUGCUUAUGACCUGCCCCCGCCACAGCCUGACAACAUCGCUCCAGUGAAACUGACUGUCAAACCUUCCCCACAGCUUGUACGGCCAUAUUAUACCCAGCAACACAUCCAACAGCAAAUGCUGUCCAUGCCCAUGCAGCCUGGCCAGCAGUACCUCAUAAAACCCAAAUAUUACCAUGCACACACCACCCACACACAGACGCACAUUCAACCUCCACUUGCAAGGCCAAUCCCUCUAACAGGACACCACCCAUUACAAGGAGCGGGAAACCACACAGGAAGGAUCAAGGUGGUGUUCACACCCACCAUCUGCAAAUUCACCUGUAUGGGCGGCAGAUGUCACAACAACUGCGAACAGGGAAAUACGACAACCAUCAUCAGCGAGAAUGGCCAUGCCACUGAUACACUGACAGCACCCAACUUCAGAGUAGUGGUGUGUCAUCUGCCUUGCAUUAAUGGUGGAAAGUGCAGCGCCAGGGACAAGUGUCAAUGCCCACCAAACUUCACUGGAAAGUUCUGCCAGAUUCCAGUUCAGGGCGGACACCAACAGCACCAACAGUACCAACAGACUUCAGGCAGCUACAGUCAAACUCAGGUCCAUUCCACACACACCUUGCCUCUGACCUACAGCAACGGUGCUGGAUUCAGCCCCAACAUAGUAAAAAUCCAUAUCAAGCAUCCUCCUGAGGCAUCUGUCGAGGUCCACCGGGUGUCUCAGCUGGACAACUACCACAGUAAUGGACACAAUCCCAAAAGUUCAGGAUCCUCUUCGUCCUCCAGCUACAGCUUUCUUCACUCUGAAAGCCAGCAGAAGAUCCAACACCGUGGCUACAACGUUGUCUAUCCAGGCCAGCACGGUGACCAGGUUCCUCAGUACCAGCCCGUUUCCUCUCAGAGCAUGUUGGGCCGCUGCUUCCAGGAAACUGUUGGUAGUCAGUGUGGAAAGGCUCUACCAGGUCUGACGAAGCAGGAGCAGUGCUGUGGUACCAUUGGGACAUCAUGGGGCUUCCACAAAUGCCAGAAAUGUCCAAAGAAAACAUCUAUUCCUCUGAUCGACUGUCCUCAGGGUUACAAGAGAAUCAACAGCACUCAUUGCCAAGCCAACAUAUCUGCCGUUCAAGAGGAGAAGGGAGCUUGCUUCCGUUUGGUGAGCUCAGGGAGGCAAUGUUUGCACCCAGUGUCUGCUCAGCUGAGCAAGCAGCUCUGCUGCUGCAGUGUUGGCAAAGCCUGGGGACCACAUUGUGACAAAUGUCCCCCUCCAGGAACAGCCAUGUUCAAAGACAUCUGUCCUGGGGGAAUGGGCUACACUGUUCUUCCAAAUCCACCUGCUAAUAAGCCAGUUACAGUGAACCAGAAGCCCACGGACCCACUGACCCCACGCCCACUGCCGACACUCGACAAACCAGUGGUGGUUUUUGGGACACAAGAAGAGAUUGUACCAGAGGUUGUUGAGCAGAGUUCUCCUCCUGUUCCAGUGGAGGUUUUCCCUUCUAAUGCAGGCCAGAACAUCGCUCCAACCCAGUCUGCAGAGGUGGACGAAUGCCAGAUCAACCCGUAUAUUUGCGGUCAAGGGAUUUGUUACAACAAGGUAGAAGGCUACACUUGCCACUGUCAUGACGGAUACCGCUUGAAUGAAGCCCUGACUUCCUGUGUGGAUGUAGAUGAGUGUUUGGAGAGCCCAUCUUUGUGUUCUGGUGGUCUGUGCCAAAACUCGGAGGGGAGUUUCCUGUGUGUGUGUCCUCAAGGAUUCCUGGCUGAUGAAUACGGAACCAGUUGCGUUGAUGUCGAUGAAUGCACAAACAGGACGGUGUGUUCGUCAGGUAUCUGCAACAACACACCCGGAGGUUACAACUGUGGUUCUUGCUAUUCUGGGUUCUUGGCACGGGAAGGCCAGUGUGUAGAUGUAGACGAGUGCCAGGAUCCGCGUGUCUGCACGAGGGGCCACUGUGUGAACACUGAAGGCUCCUUCAUAUGCCAGUGUGGACCAGGCUUCAAAGUGUCUCUCACUGGAGAUCAGUGUGAUGAUGUGGAUGAGUGUUUUGAGGAAGCCGAGCCCUGCGAGUCUGUUGGGGAGUGCCAAAACAACGUAGGCUCCUACAUUUGUAUCUGCCCUCAAGGGUACCGGCGAAUCAACGGCCCCAACUGCAGAGAUGUUGAUGAGUGUGUCGAUGAGCCUGAACUCUGCUCCCCCCAUGGAGAAUGUCUGAAUACUGACGGGUCCUAUAUGUGUGUGUGUGGGAGUGGAUUCACUGCUAGUCUUGACACACCCUCCUGUGAAGACAUCGAUGAAUGUGGACUCAAUGAGACAUUGUGUGGUCCUCACGGGUUUUGUGAGAACAGACUGGGUUCUUUUCGAUGCCUCUGUGACCAGGGCUACCAGGAAACACAAGAUGUCCAAGGCUGUAUAGAUAUCAACGAGUGUGAGUUGCUCAGUAGCAUCUGUGGAGAUGCCCAGUGUGUAAACGUGGAAGGUUCAGUCCUGUGCACGUGCCCCGCUGGUCAAAAUUAUAAUGUCAUGGUUGCCAAGUGUGAACCCAUCCCAACAGCUUUGCCGAUAGAGCGCAAGGAGUGCUACUUCCGCCUGAAUGACGAGAAUUUGUGUGAGAGCGUGCUCACCACCCACGUGACGCUGCAGGAGUGCUGCUGCACACUGGGAGCCGGCUGGGGGGACAACUGUGAGGUUCAUCCUUGCCCUGUCAACGGCACAGAUCAAUUCCAGGAGAUGUGUCCAUCAGGAAAAGGUUUUAUUCCCAGUGGAGAUUCGCUCUAUGAAGUCCCGGCAGUUGAAAGCUACAAAAAUGCAGAUGAGUGCACACUCUUUGGCCAGGAGGUUUGCAAAGGAGGCUUUUGUCUGGAUACUGAUGGCAGUUAUGAGUGCUACUGCAAGACAGGACAGGACUACGACCCUUCGAAACUGGAAUGUAGAGACAUAAACGAGUGUGCGGACGAGUCGUUGUGUCUUGGAGGAAAAUGUUUGAACACAGAAGGAUCCUACGUUUGUUUCUGCACACAUCCCAUGGUGCUGGACCCCGGCACCAAUCGCUGCGUCUUUGUUCCUGAGGCAGCUGAGCAACAUGAAGGAGGACAUAUCGACUUUCAAGGUAUCUGCUGGCAGAAGGUGACAGAAUCCAUGACGUGCACGCAGCCGUUGGGUGCCGACAGGAAGACGACGUUCACCGAGUGCUGCUGUCUCUUUGGAGAGGCGUGGGGCAUGGAUUGUGCCUUAUGUCCCACCAAAAACACUGGUGAUUAUGCUUCCAUGUGUAACCUUCCUAUGAGUGGUGGACGCCAUCCUUACGGCCGGGAUGCUCUUGUUGCUGGUCCCGUUCAUGAAUAUGAAGUGAUCCCGGACUACUCGCCAUCCCCUGAUCAGCAGUCUGCCUUGUCAUUUUAUGACAAUGAGGAGUGGGGGCCGGAGACCAUGAACGGGGUCGAAAAGACAUAGAGAGACGCGGGGUGAGGCUGACACCGAAAGGCACGGGAGGCUGCGGGAGAAAGACUGGCGUGACAGGAACGAAAGACUGAGAUUGUGUAUAUACAUUUGCAUGUGCCAAAAGAAAAAGGGAAAGGAAACAAAAAAAUAAAAACGGUGUCAAUCCAGCUUGGUGGUGUUGAGUGAUCCGGGAGAACGCAAGCCGAAAGGCGUCUACAGUGGCACCCAACAUAUAACGGACCCUGACAAUGUCCACCACAAACCCCCUGGAUGUACUUGGCCACGUCCUGGCAGAAGUGGCGGCGGCAUCCCAGCAGCAAACGCGGGUGCUGCAAGCUCUCAUGGACAGAGCGGAGGGGGUAGUAGACCGGAGAGGAGGAUCCAUGCAGCGCAUGGUGGAGACAGAAGACCCACACGCAUACCUCGUCAUCUUCGAGGCCACAGCCACGGCCGAGACUGCUGCCACUCCUGGCGGGGGAGGCGCAGCGGGCGGUGCGGAGUCUCCCAGCGGCCGCCCGCAUGCAGUUUACGAACCUGCGCCGUGCAAUCCUUGACCGAAUUGGAAGCAGCCCAGAAGACCACCGACACAGAUUCCGAGCCUUGAUGCUGGGCCCCGAGGACAGACCAUUCACCCUGGCACAACAACUGUGGGACGCAGCGACUAGAUGGCUCCAGCUCCAGGCAGCAGAAAGCAACAUGUUCGAGCUGAUAGUAUUGGAACAAUUCAUUGCAGCGAUACCAGCCCGGACCGCCGCAUGGGUGCAAUAUCACCGCCCCAGCGACCUGAUGACAGCGGUGAACCUCACGGAGGACCACCUGGCAGUCCAGAAAGAGGCAGCAACAAGACCCACACCUGCUCCGCAGAGACGACCCCUGAUGCCGGAGGCCGCGACAGCCCCGGAGGCCCGUUCCCGAUAGGGGGGGGAGGCGCCAACCCACGAGCAGGUUCCAGCAUCGGACAACUCCAUCAAAAAAAAAAAAAAAGAGAGACAACACCCACCCACACGUACACGCACACACAAGCCAGCAAUAUCCCAAAGGGGGAGGGAAAAAUAUAAUGUUACCUCUGCUCCUCUUUUCCAGGGUACCGGCGCCGCUGAUGGAGGGCUUCCCUCGCAGACAGCACUUCGAGCACCAGGGCAGGUGUGUUGGAGGUGCGGACAGCCCGGUCACACACGGCGGGAGUGCUCCGCAAUGGAAGUAGGCCAGGUGAUACGGGUUGCCGGACCUCCAACACCCUCCCCCGAUCCAGGGUGCAAGGGAGUAUACACCGGGCUAUGGUGGAUUCGGGCUGUAAACAGUGCAUGAUCCACCAGAACCUGGUUCGACCCAGGGCGUUGAGGCAUGCGACACAGGGGAGGGUAAUGUGUAUACAUGGGGAUGUGCACACGCAUCCCGUGGUGCCUGUCGAAAUCUGGUAUCGGGGCCAAAAACAUACGGUAAAGGUCGCCGUAAGCGCGCGACUUACGCACCCCCUGAUUAUAGGGACAAAUUGACCGGGGUUUAGCCAGCUAGUGGAACAAUGUGUGGGGAUGCGUUCACGGGCUGUAGGACAGGGAAGUAUCCGCGCAGUACUCAGUGGCGACGCAAGUUCGUGCGGCGCUGCCGAGGGGGAACCGGUGGGGGCUUUGCGGGAGGCCCCCCCUGCCUCCCAGUGGAGACCCACGGAGGACUUUCCCCUCGAACAGUCCCGCGAUGAAACUCUGCGCGCGGCCUGGGACCAGGUGGAUUACAUCGACGGUCAGCUGGUGCGCCCGGGGAAAACGCGGGUAUUUCCCCACUUUUCCAUUAUUAGAGACAGACUAUACUGAGUGACCCGUGACACUCAAACGGGCGAAGAAUACACCCAAAACCCCGCCGGGAAAUGGUAUUCCAGGCGGGACAUUGCAAUCCCCUCGCAGGCCACAUGGGGUACGAAAAAACACUCAAUCGGGUCAUGGUCCGAUUCUAUUGGCCAGGCAUCUGGGCAGACAUACGCCGAUGGUGUGCGGCCUGUCCGGACUGCCAGCUGGUUAACUCAGUGGCCAUCCCUAAGGCCCCGUUGCGCCCAUUACCGCUCGUAGAGGUCCCGUUCGAUAAAAUCGGAAUCGACCUCAUCGGACCAUUUCACCCGAGCACCCGGGGAUAUCGAUUUGUGUUAGUCCUAGUGGAUUACGCAACCCGAUAUCCCGAAGCAGUGCCGCUGCGCUCCAUCUCUGCAAAGAGUGUAGCACAAGCACUCUUUUCGGUCAUUUCCCGGGUAGGAAUUCCGAAAGAAAUUCUUACUGACCAGGGCACGUCCUUUAUGUCACGCACGAUAAAGGAACUAUACGGAUUACUGGGAAUUAAAUCCAUCCGCACCAGUGUUUACCAUCCACAAACUGAUGGACUGGUGGAAAGAUUAAAUAAAACACUAAAAACCAUGAUCCGUAAGUUCAUACACGAGGACAGACCUAAUUGGGAUAAAUGGCUGGAUCCCUUGAUGUUUGCGAUGCGGGAGGCACCCCAGACCUCCGUCGGCUUUUCGCAUUUCGAGUUACUUUACGGCAGGAGGCCGCGCGGCGUGCUGGACCUUAUUAAAGAAAGCUGGGAGGAAGGCUCCAGCCGCAGUAAAAAUGAGAUUCAAUACGUUUUGGACAUGCGAGCAAAACUUCACAAGGUGGCGCACUUAUCAUGGGGAAAUUUGCUCCGCGCCCAACAACGACAACAGCGCACGUAUAAUCGGGGAACCCAGCUGCGGAAAUUUUCACCGGGAGAGAAAGUACUUGUACUACUCCCAAUCUCCAGCUCUAAAUUACUGGCCAAGUGGCAAGGGCCUUUUGUGGUCACACGGCAGACUAGUGAGGUAGAUUAUGAGGUCCGGCGCUCGGACCGGGGCGGAAACACGCAAAUUUACCACGUGAAACUGCUGAAAGCAUGGAGGGAGGCCGAGCCUGUCUCCAUGGUGACGGUAGUGAAGGAGGAGCUGGGGCCGGAGAUCCCGCGCUCCGCCUCUCCCCCUCCCCUUCCUUGUGAUGACCAGCUCACAUUGGCUCAAAGAGCGGAGGUUGCUGAAUUACAGCGGCGCUAUUCAGAUGUAUUCUCCGUGCGCGAGAAUACAUCGUGACAGGAACGAAAGACUGAGAUUGUGUAUAUACAUUCGCAUGUGCCAAAAGAAAAAGGGAAAGGAAACAAAAAAAUAAAAUCGGUGUCAAUGCAGCUUGGUGGUGUUGAGUGAUCCGGGAGAACGCAAGCCGAAAGGCGUCUACAGUCACAUAUUCACAAAAUUCAGACGGCUUGCGCAGUUCAGCCAGAUAAUCAGAAAUGCUGUCAUCUUUAGUUUGAAAACAAAACCUUUUUACUGUUACAAUGGGCUUUAGGCUCAGGUGCUCUUUUAAUGUCCUUACAAUUGUUGAAAAUGACCGUGUUGCAGGCUUUUCAGAAGCUAAUAUAUUACUCAAAAGGUGUAUGUUUUAGUGUGGGAACUGUCUUAUCACAAAUCUCAUUGGCAGCGAAAUACAAUUCAACUUGUUUAUAUGAGACUCCCAAUCUUCAUCUUCAUCUUCAAAGGACACAGUGCCAUAGUUUUCACUUCCCCUGUGGCAGGCGGCGUCAGCUGUUAGCUUUUCAAUUGUAGCUGUGCCAGGUUUGUUCUCCUGAAAUGCAGACGGACGACUCCGGAUGAAAGCGUGCGGUAGGAACAUGAUUUAAUCAUCGAAAUUCAAAGAGGUACAAACAAAACGGAACACAAGGCGAAGGCACAAGGCGAUGAUCACACUUGGAGCUAAAGCUAACGCUUAGCGUGGACUCGGGACAAGCAAUACUCAGGGAACUGUGGCAUGAAACAAACAAGACCUACGUAGCAAGACAUGGAGCAAACAAUGACGCCAGACUGAGCGUGGUGAGCAAGGUGAAUAAAUAGCUCUCUGAUUAGUGGUUGACAGCAACUGAGCAUGUGAUCACUAACCAGAGGCAGGUGAACCCAAUUAAUCCCCAUGGUGACCAAAAUAUACCCAGGAGUGUGCAAAACAGGAACUAAGGGCGUCCAAAACUAACAGAACAUAACCAAAACAUGAUUUGGACCACGGAUCAUGACAAGCUGUCACUCAGGAGUAAAGUAUUCCACCAUUUGCCUUGCCGUCACCUGUGACCGUCUGUGCAGUGGUGGGCUCUCAUUUGCGGGCCAAUCCCAUCCUCAUUGCCACUUGGUUGCAUUCUUAAAACUUCUCAAAAUGAAAACAGACAGCUUCAGCACAGUUUGUUUACUAUAGAGCGCGGCAAUAUUGAACAAAGUUCCAUUUACGUAUCACAGAGCACACGGUGCUCCACAGGCAGUAGAUCAGGGGUGUCCAAACUUUUUCCACUGAUCUCCGCAGACUGAAAAAUCAAAGUAUGCGGGGGCCAUUUUGAUAUUUUUCUUUUUUAAAAGCAAUACAAUAGUUUUAGUUUUUUUACCUUUAUGGCUUUCGUCAAGUUUGGUCUCCGGAAAGGUCUAAGUCAUACAAAUGUUAGAAAUAAGUCAUCAAUUAUUAUUUUUUUCACUUAACGCUUGAAUCUCGAGAUCAACUUCAGGUCGGUCUGUCGUUAAAACAUUUCUUUAAAUUUGUUUUUGUUUUUAUGUUUAUGGCCUUUAUGUCAAAAACCUUAUUUAUGUGGCAAAAAAAACAAACUAUGCAACAUUUUCCCCCAAAACGUUUCAAAGUGGAAUAUUUGACGUGACGUAAUUGGAACCGUAAAUAGGUCCAUAAUUCAUAACAAUAAAAAAAGAAUAAGUGUUGAAAAUAAGCCAAUUGUAUACUUAUAUUUUUUUUACUUUUAACGCUUAACUCUGUAGAUCUCUUGAUUAUAAGAUUUUAUAAUUUUUUUCAUACUUUUUUGUUUGUUUGAUGCCCUUUUUGUGAAAGAAAACUUUGUUUUGCACAAAAUAUGCAAUAUUAUCCCCCCAAAAUAUUUGAAAGUGAAAUUGUUCCAGUGAAGCAAUUGGAGCCUUCAGCAGGUCAAUAACAGUCCACAUGGCAGUGUCACGCCAUAUUUCUUCCCCCCUACAAAAAGCUUCCCCCUGGAAGACAUUUGGCGUGACAAACCCCUCUAAUGCCUGAAGGACCCCAAUGAGGGUGGCAGGACCUUAAAGCAGCCCACACAGCUGCCUGUUUUAAAAGCAUUAUAAUUGGCUGAUUGUCAUUGGUGAAAAAUAACAGUGAGGAAAAACUAUUAGCAUUCCAGCAUGCUAACCUUUCAAGCUACAGUAUUUUUGCUUCGCUAAUUUUGCAGCUGUAACCCUUACGAGUCAUACAACUUGAUAUUACCACGCCCUCAUUGGGGUCCUUCAGGCAUUAGAGGGGCUGUCACGCCAAAUGUCUUCCGGGGGGAAGAAAUUUGGCGUGACAGCAGCUUUGUGUUAGUGUCAACACUGCAACUUUUUCUUGUUACAUGUCACUGUUUACUCUUUUAUUACACUCUUUUAUGUUUUACAUUUUUAUUAUAGUAUUUUUUAGAAUGGGCCGAGGCCUUUAACAAAUUAGCUGGGGGCCACAAAUGGCCCUCGGGCCGCACUUUGGACACGCCUGCAGUAGAUGGUAUUACUCCGCAAGGAAAAAGAGAUCCAUACAAGCCAUUUGAAGGUUUGAGAGCAGAGGAGUGUGGGAUACUGAACGGCUGUGAGAACGGUCGCUGUGUUCGAGUCCAGGAGGGUUACACCUGUGACUGCUUUGACGGCUACACACUGG